UACGUAGGGUGCAAGCGUUGUCCGGAAUUAUUGGGCGUAAAGAGCUCGUAGGCGGUUUGUCGCGUCGAAUGUGAAAACCCGGGGCUCAACUCCGGGCCUGCAUUCGAUACGGGCAGACUAGAGUUCGGUAGGGGAGACUGGAAUUCCUGGUGUAGCGGUGGAAAUGCACAGAUAUCAGGAGGAACACCGGUGGCGAAGGCGGCUCUCUGGACCACAACUGACGCUGAGGCGCGAAAGCUAGGGGAGCAAACAGG
rnacentral:rRNA from 1 species